ACGGGGUGCAGCAGGCGCGAAACCUUUACAAUGCACGCAAGUGUGAUAAGGGAAUCCCGAGUGCUUUGCUUUUUGUAAAGCUCUUGCCAAGAGUAAAAAUCUUGGCGAAUAAAUGGUGGGCAAGACUGGUGCCAGCAGCCGCGGUAACACCAGCGCCAUGAGUGGCAAUCAUCAUUAUUGGGCCUAAAGCGUCCGUAGCCGGUUUAAUCCGUCUUUUGUGAAAUCGUUUGGCUUAACCUAACGGUGUGCAAAAGAUACAGUUAAACUUGGAACCGGGAGGAGUCAGAGGUAUUCUAAGGGGAGCGGUAAAAUGCUAUAAUCCUUGGAGGACCACCUGUGGCGAAGGCAUCUGACUACAACGGCUUCGACGGUGAGGGACGAAAGCCAGGGGAACAAACCGGAUUAGAUACCUGGGUAGUCCUGGCUGUAAACGCUGUGAGCUAGGUGUUGCAUAUUCUUCGUGAAUGUGCAGUGUCGAAAUGAAGAUGUUAAGCUCACCGCCUGGGAAGUAUGGUCGCAAGGCUGAAACUUAAAGGAAUUGGCGGGGGAGCC
rnacentral:rRNA from 1 species